AAAAAAAAAAAAGUGGGUAAGAGAAAGAAGAUACACAGAAACUCUGCCAAACAGCCAGAGAAAUCAAAAUCUCCCAGGCCACUUAGAGGCGGCUGUACUUUUGGAGUCUAUAGACUGCUCUCAUCAGUGUUCUAAUUCUAUGAAUACUAUGGAUUUGUUCCCCAGUUUUACUUCGUUAUGAAAGCACUGCCUUUAAGAGAGGGGUCCUUUCUGGCUUCAUCUACCUACAGCACCUUGGUGCUCAAGGUAGGCUUGAGUAGGGGGAACAGAUGUAUCCUAUGGUAUCACGAUAUUGCUAUGGUUUCCUGAAAGAGGAACCACCACCUUAUGCUUCAGAAAGUAGAUUUGGGGUACUGAUAGCCCCUCACCCACCUCAGAUAGAGUGGAAGAUGCCCUCGACAGUUCCACUGACGUUGAGGCCUCCCAGAACCAGGGGGUCCUCUGGGACUAAGGAGGCAUCUGAUUUCACUGGCCUUUACAGACACUGUCCCACUCUUACUCCUAGGUGCUGACUCCCUGGUGUGACAGUGUAGGUGAAGGGGGGGUCAACUUUGAAAAGCAAGAAAGAAUGGACAGAUUUCUGCAAGGAGAGAGGCUUCAGAAGAAACCAACCUGGCAACAGCCUGACCUUGGACUUCCAGCCUCCAGAGGGGAAACCAGGAGUGCAAGGGCUGCUCUGGGAAACAUUCCAUGUUGUAAACUGCUGUUACUGUGCGAGGUAUUUCCGAGUGUUUGGGGUUCUCCUGAGUAGUCCUGAAUGACUGAGGCAAGGUUGGACCCACAAGGUUGGGAGCAGGGUGAUUCAUUAUUGCUAUUAAAAUUAUGCCACAUAGUAUUACAAUUACAUUUAAAAAUUUUCCAUUUGUUUGCUGCCAGUAUGUACAAAUACAAUUAAUUCCUAUAUUGUGUCCUUGUAUUCUGCAACAUUGUUAAACUCACUUAUUAGUUCUCAUAGCUGUUUUGUAGACUGCCUUGAAUUUUUAAAUUUAAACAUGCAUGUCACCUGCAAAUACAGUUUUGCAUAGGAAUAUAGUGUUCAGAACUGUUAUGAGAAUCAGUUUGCAUGCAUGUAUAAAAUAAUAAGGUGUUUUCAAUAAAUAAAAACGUUGUAUUAAUAAGAAAGUGGCAUGAUCUAUGAUUAUGUGCCUAUAACAUGCUUAUAUAUAAGCUCAAACGUAGAAAAAAAAAAGGCAAAAAAAUCAUUGUUCUGUUAACAUGGAGUUUUUGUGUCUUUCAAAAAUUUCUGGGCUUCCCUGGUGGCGCAAUGGUUAAGAAUCCACCUGACAAUGCAGGAGACAUGGGUUCGAGCCCUGGUCUGGGAAGAUCCCACAUGCCGCGGAGCAACUAAGCCCGUGCGACACAUUUACUGAAGCCCACGCGCCUAGAGCCCGUGCUCUGCAACAAGAGAAGCCACAGCAAUGAGAAGCCUGUGCACGGCAACGAAGAGUAGCCCCCGCUCACCGCAACUAGAGAAAGCCCGCACGCAGCAACGAAGACCCAACGCAGCCAAAAAUAAAUAAAUUAAAAAAAAAUUCCUUCCCUGUAAGUACUGUGUUGUUUUCACAACUUAUAAAAAGUUUCAUAUUCUAAAUAAAAUGACAAAAAUUACUAUGUUAGGACUGAAAAUUGCCACAAUUUUCAGCUAGGCAGGAGCUUUACUCUCUUUUUAUUUAUCCUUGGAUUGUUCUCUUUGACUCAUCUCCCCAGUAAAAACUGAGCCUUUCCUCCAAGAUAGAUCUAGUUGGUCUCAACUGGGGAAAUCAGGGUGUUCAUUAAAAUUCACUAAAGAGUAUCUCAAGCCCUCUGACCUCUAUCAUGUAAUGCCACACAGUCUGGUUAACACCCACCAUCCAUGCAAAGAUGAGUACUUAGAGUGAUAUUUAUCUAUAAACUGUUUUCCUUGGGAAAGAAAUGCACACAAACCCACUUGGAGCUAGUUUGACAUAUCCUACUGCGUAUUCUUACAGUCCCUCGAAAUGUGUACUCCAUUGCAGUAUCUUGCCUUUUGGGGGCUCUAGUCUAACUCCUCUUUCUGCCAUUUAUUUUUUAUUCUCAAACAGUUAUGACCCACAAUGGCUCAUAAAAAGUGCAAUGGUGUUGGACCUACUUCAAAAACAAAAACAAAAAAUGACAGAGUAAGAGCAUCUGAGAAAACGUUAAAAAUGCAAUUUUAAUGAGUCUCUAGGUGCCUUCAAGGAAAUGGUGUGGGAAUCAGGGAGAAGAUGUCAGUGAGCAAUUAGGGAUUGGUGGAGGUCCUGGAAGGGCAUCAAAAUCCUGGCUACAGCCAGGGAAGAUGGGCUGACAACUGUGAAGUGCACCUGGAUGAAACCACGCAGUGGGGCUGUGGCCUCUUCAGGGAUCUGAACAAGAGCAUGAGUGUGAAGCCUAUUGCAUGUUGCUCUUCCAAUGAACAGCUGUGCAAAAGUGCCUCUGCCGUGGAAUUGGGCUGUAACAAUUGAACUAGUGACCCUACGUGUAAGCAUGCGACCUCCACCUGCCUUAAAGAGGGUAUGGGAGCCACUGUGCUUCUUUGAGAAUUAUAUUAACUUUCGAGGCUCCUACAAUCCCGCAGCCUUCCUGGGUUGCUGUCUGGACCCAGAACUAUCAUGUUCAUGUGCCAUCGUUUGGACAGAAGGGCCAGUGGCAUUUCAGAGCUGGAGGCGGGUGAUUAAAAUUUUGUUCUUGCGCUGCUGGUCCAGGGAAGGGGCAAACUAGGAUGUCGUGAAUAAAGUACAUCCAUGCUGAUUGGCUUGGCUGAAUUGAUAUUGGUGUCGCUACAGAAAAUGGUCACAUCUGAAGACAGUGGAAAAAAGAAAGGAACAUAUUUCACGGCUACUUACUUGGAGGUAGUGUCCUUUGAAUUUAGUGAUCUGCACACUGUUUUCAAUUCAAAGUUAGAAAAAAAAAUCAAUAAUUUUAAGCAACAGUAAACCCCUUGGAAAUGACAAAUUUAAAUACCAGCCAAAUCAUUUUUUCUGUAGAUACCAUGGCAGCUUGGAAUCUGGGAAGCAAGAUAAAAAUAACAUAAUUCAAGAUGCUCUUCACUGUUUUAUCACCACAGAUUUCUAAGUGGAGUCAAACCCUGAGGGCUAACUUGAUGCUGGCUUUAGGGACAGCAACGGGGACAAAAAAUAGCCUAGUACUUUCCAUGCUCUGCUUCCAGAAGGUUGGGAAAAUCUAGAACAUUCUUCUUAAGCAUCUGAAUGCUAGAUCGUGAAUGUCUCUGAAAGAAUGCAGUGUCCUAUCUCUUAAUGGAGAGGGAUGUGUAGGGUGGAAAGAAAUGAGAUUGAUAAACUAAAAUAAAGGGGAAGGGACUUCCCUCGCGGUCUAGUGGUUAAGACCUCGCCUCCCAAUGCAGGGGGUGCAGGUUCAAUCCCUGGUGGAGGAGGUAAGAUCCCACAUGCCUGGUGGCCAAAAAACCAAAACAUCUGUCUUACUUCCUAUCUUUACAGAAAAGCAGAAAUCCUAACCAUCCCGUAGCGCUUAACUGCAUAACAAAUGAGUAUGUUAACACUAAAGGUACAUAAAAUGCAAAGUGUUCAAGUAACUAUUUCAAACACGUUGAAUAAAUUCUUUCACCAUAACCUCCUAGGGGACAGAGGGGCCUGGCCAUCUAUAUUGUUUUGGGAACCUGUAAGAUUUUCAGACCUAAAAAUAGCAUAAUUCCUAUUAUUGCUCCUAACUGUGUUAACCUUUCUCAUAAUCCCAGCUUAAUACUUCUCAUUCCUAUUUCUGUAAAUGGAAUAAUUAGACCAAUUAAUGAAAGAAACACAUGAACAUUUCCACAGAAACCUUUUCCAGACCAAUAUUUUCAGGACAGCACGUUCCGCAAGGAUUUAUCCAUGUGACUUCCACUGAUGUUAACAGAAAUCAGACAAUUAAAUCCUCCUGUAACUCUUUGAUAAUUUACCCCCUCUGCUUUUAGGAACAUAAUAAUGCAGACAUCCAAAGUGUAAUCACUUCCUUAGAGUUGUCAAGUGUAAAAAAUUUUGCAUCCCUUCUCUGAGUGAUUAUCAGUUGUACAGUCUUUCUCAAACUAAAAAAAAAUAGAGAUUAAUGGGAUUUAAAAUAUUAAAAUGUAUGGAAAUUAUAUGUAGGGUAAUUAGGCAAAUAGUUCUUUUUUUUAAAAAUCAUCAAAUUUGGGAAGGCAAUUUAAGAUAAAAAGAGAAGAUCCCACUGUCUAUAAAUGAACAUCUCUUAUUGGUCACACUGGUGUACCACAUUCUUUCUUUUUUUUUUUUUUUUUUUGCGGUACGCGGGCCUCUCACUGUUGUGGCCUCUCCCGUUGCGGAGCGCAGGCUCCAGACACGCAGGCUCAGCGGCCAUGGGCCCAGCCGCUCCGCGGCAUGUGGGAUCUUCCCGGACCGGGGCACGAACCCGUGUCCCCUGCAUCAGCAGGCGGACUCCCAACCACUGCGCCACCAGGGAAGCCCCCACAUUCUUUUUUUAUCUCUGAUCGCUGAUGCUGCCUCUCCUCAUCUGAGCCAAUCCUAAGAGGGAAAGAAGGCAAGGUGAAGAAUAUCAUCCUAAGAACAAAGACAGAGAAAAGGUCUUUGAAGAUAAAAUCCCUCUCAAUUACAUUGACAAUGACUGCUUAAUAAGUCAGGCUAAAAAUACAGAAUUCACUGUCAAGUUUACUCAACUGCACUGAUUAGAUAAAUUUAUAGACUCCAUUAAGGUACCUUCUGCCCCAUCCCAAAUGUGUUGCAGAGCAACAGUAAAGAGGCAGCAAUCCUCUUUCUCACGAGGAGCUGUUAAUAUGAACAAUAUUCUAUUGCAACAAAAAAUAUUACUCCUAAAAGAAAUAAAAAGCUAAGACGUUGCUUUUCCUAUCAGGAACAGAGGCUUUUGUCUAUUUUCAAAUAUACAUGGGUCACAGAUAAUUCUGUCUUCCUGCCAGGAAUGCCACCCAAUCCAUUCCAUCGUUGUGCAUUCAGAAGGCAACGAAAAUGAUUAAAGGAAAGCUAGGGCCCGAGCUCUGCAACAAGAGAAGCCACAGCAAUGAGAAGCCUGUGCACCACAACGAAGAGUAGCCCCCGCUCGCCGCAACUAGAGAAAGUCCAUGCACAGCAACAAAAGACCCAAUGCAGCCAAAAAAAAAAAA